AGUCGAGCGGUGAAUCCUUCGGGAUGGAUUAGCGGCGGACGGGUGAGUAACACGUGGGUAACCUGCCUCAAAGAGGGGAAUAGCCUUCCGAAAGGAAGAUUAAUACCGCAUAAUAUGUUUUGGUCGCAUGAUCGAAACAUCAAAGGAGCAAUCCGCUUUGAGAUGGACCCGCGGCGCAUUAGCUAGUUGGUGAGGUAACGGCUCACCAAGGCGACGAUGCGUAGCCGACCUGAGAGGGUGAUCGGCCACAUUGGAACUGAGACACGGUCCAGACUCCUACGGGAGGCAGCAGUGGGGAAUAUUGCGCAAUGGGGGAAACCCUGACGCAGCAACGCCGCGUGAAUGAUGAAGGCCUUCGGGUUGUAAAGUUCUGUCUUCUGGGACGAUAAUGACGGUACCAGAGGAGGAAGCCACGGCUAACUACGUGCCAGCGGCCGCGGUAAUACGUAGGUGGCAAGCGUUGUCCGGAUUUACUGGGCGUAAAGGAUGCGUAGGCGGAUAUUUAAGUCAGAUGUGAAAUACCCGAGCUUAACUUGGGUGCUGCAUUUGAAACUGGGUGUCUAGAGUGCAGGAGAGGUAAGUGGAAUUCCUAGUGUAGCGGUGAAAUGCGUAGAGAUUANGAAGAACACCAGUGGCGAAGGCGACUUACUGGACUGUAACUGACGCUGAGGCAUGAAAGCGUGGGGAGCAAACAGGAUUAGAUACCCUGGUAGU
rnacentral:rRNA from 1 species